rnacentral:rRNA from 1 species
AUACGGAGGGGACAAGCGUUAUUCGGAAUCACUGGGCGUAAAGGACGCGUAGGCGGGUUAUUAAGUCGGGUGUGAAAUCCAAUGGCUCAACCAUUGAACUGCAUUCGAAACUGAUAACCUAGAGUAUGGAAGGGGCAGGUGGAAUUAGUGGUGUAGGGGUAAAAUCCGUAGAUAUCACUAGGAAUACCGAAAGCGAAGGCGACCUGCUGGGACAUUACUGACGCUGAGGCGUGAAAGCGUGGGGAGCAAACAGGAUUAGAUACCCCGGUAGUCC